rnacentral:rRNA from 1 species
AGUGAACGCUGGCGGUAGGCCUAACACAUGCAAGUCGAACGGCAGCACAGGAGAGCUUGCUCUCUGGGUGGCGAGUGGCGGACGGGUGGGGAAUACAUCGGAAUCUACUCUGUCGUGGGGGAUAACGUAGGGAAACUUACGCUAAUACCGCAUACGACCUACGGGUGAAAGCAGGGGAUCUUCGGACCUUGCGCGAUUGAAUGAGCCGAUGUCGGAUUAGCUAGUUGGCGGGGUAAAGGCCCACCAAGGCGACGAUCCGUAGCUGGUCUGAGAGGAUGAGCAGCCACACUGGAACUGAGACACGGUCCAGACGCCUACGGGAGGCAGCAGUGGGGAAUAUUGGACAAUGGGCGCAAGCCUGAUCCAGCCAUACCGCGUGGGUGAAGAAGGCCUUCGGGUUGUAAAGCCCUUUUGUUGGGAAAGAAAUCCAGCUGGCUAAUACCCGGUUGGGAUGACGGUACCCAAAGAAUAAGCACCGGCUAACUUCGUGCCAGCCGCCGCCGUAA